rnacentral:rRNA from 1 species
GGGUUGUGAGGUUAAGCGACUAAGCGUACACGGUGGAUGCCCUGGCAGUCAGAGGCGAUGAAGGACGUGCUAAUCUGCGAUAAGCGUCGGUAAGGUGAUAUGAACCGUUAUAACCGGCGAUUUCCGAAUGGGGAAACCCAGUGUGAUUCGUCACACUAUCAUUAACUGAAUCCAUAGGUUAAUGAGGCGAACCGGGGGAACUGAAACAUCUAAGUACCCCGAGGAAAAGAAAUCAACCGAGAUUCCCCCAGUAGCGGCGAGCGAACGGGGAGCAGCCCAGAGCCUGAAUCAGUGUGUGUGUUAGUGGAAGCGUCUGGAAAGGCGCGCGAUACAGGGUGACAGCCCCGUACACAAAAAUGCACAUGCUGUGAGCUCGAUGAGUAGGGCGGGACACGUGGUAUCCUGUCUGAAUAUGGGGGGACCAUCCUCCAAGGCUAAAUACUCCUGACUGACCGAUAGUGAACCAGUACCGUGAGGGAAAGGCGAAAAGAACCCCGGCGAGGGGAGUGAAAAAGAACCUGAAACCGUGUACGUACAAGCAGUGGGAGCACGCUUAGGCGUGUGACUGCGUACCUUUUGUAUAAUGGGUCAGCGACUUAUAUUCUGUAGCAAGGUUAACCGAAUAGGGGAGCCGAAGGGAAACCGAGUCUUAACUGGGCGUUAAGUUGCAGGGUAUAGACCCGAAACCCGGUGAUCUAGCCAUGGGCAGGUUGAAGGUUGGGUAACACUAACUGGAGGACCGAACCGACUAAUGUUGAAAAAUUAGCGGAUGACUUGUGGCUGGGGGUGAAAGGCCAAUCAAACCGGGAGAUAGCUGGUUCUCCCCGAAAGCUAUUUAGGUAGCGCCUCGUGAAUUCAUCUCCGGGGGUAGAGCACUGUUUCGGCAAGGGGGUCAUCCCGACUUACCAACCCGAUGCAAACUGCGAAUACCGGAGAAUGUUAUCACGGGAGACACACGGCGGGUGCUAACGUCCGUCGUGAAGAGGGAAACAACCCAGACCGCCAGCUAAGGUCCCAAAGUCAUGGUUAAGUGGGAAACGAUGUGGGAAGGCCCAGACAGCCAGGAUGUUGGCUUAGAAGCAGCCAUCAUUUAAAGAAAGCGUAAUAGCUCACUGGUCGAGUCGGCCUGCGCGGAAGAUGUAACGGGGCUAAACCAUGCACCGAAGCUGCGGCAGCGACGCUGAUGCGUUGUUGGGUAGGGGAGCGUUCUGUAAGCCUGCGAAGGUGUGCUGUGAGGCAUGCUGGAGGUAUCAGAAGUGCGAAUGCUGACAUAAGUAACGAUAAAGCGGGUGAAAAGCCCGCUCGCCGGAAGACCAAGGGUUCCUGUCCAACGUUAAUCGGGGCAGGGUGAGUCGACCCCUAAGGCGAGGCCGAAAGGCGUAGUCGAUGGGAAACAGGUUAAUAUUCCUGUACUUGGUGUUACUGCGAAGGGGGGACGGAGAAGGCUAUGUUGGCCGGGCGACGGUUGUCCCGGUUUAAGCGUGUAGGCUGGUUUUCCAGGCAAAUCCGGAAAAUCAAGGCUGAGGCGUGAUGACGAGGCACUACGGUGCUGAAGCAACAAAUGCCCUGCUUCCAGGAAAAGCCUCUAAGCAUCAGGUAACAUCAAAUCGUACCCCAAACCGACACAGGUGGUCAGGUAGAGAAUACCAAGGCGCUUGAGAGAACUCGGGUGAAGGAACUAGGCAAAAUGGUGCCGUAACUUCGGGAGAAGGCACGCUGAUAUGUAGGUGAAGUCCCUCGCGGAUGGAGCUGAAAUCAGUCGAAGAUACCAGCUGGCUGCAACUGUUUAUUAAAAACACAGCACUGUGCAAACACGAAAGUGGACGUAUACGGUGUGACGCCUGCCCGGUGCCGGAAGGUUAAUUGAUGGGGUUAGCGCAAGCGAAGCUCUUGAUCGAAGCCCCGGUAAACGGCGGCCGUAACUAUAACGGUCCUAAGGUAGCGAAAUUCCUUGUCGGGUAAGUUCCGACCUGCACGAAUGGCGUAAUGAUGGCCAGGCUGUCUCCACCCGAGACUCAGUGAAAUUGAACUCGCUGUGAAGAUGCAGUGUACCCGCGGCAAGACGGAAAGACCCCGUGAACCUUUACUAUAGCUUGACACUGAACAUUGAGCCUUGAUGUGUAGGAUAGGUGGGAGGCUUUGAAGUGUGGACGCCAGUCUGCAUGGAGCCGACCUUGAAAUACCACCCUUUAAUGUUUGAUGUUCUAACGUUGACCCGUGAUCCGGGUUGCGGACAGUGUCUGGUGGGUAGUUUGACUGGGGCGGUCUCCUCCUAAAGAGUAACGGAGGAGCACGAAGGUUGGCUAAUCCUGGUCGGACAUCAGGAGGUUAGUGCAAUGGCAUAAGCCAGCUUGACUGCGAGCGUGACGGCGCGAGCAGGUGCGAAAGCAGGUCAUAGUGAUCCGGUGGUUCUGAAUGGAAGGGCCAUCGCUCAACGGAUAAAAGGUACUCCGGGGAUAACAGGCUGAUACCGCCCAAGAGUUCAUAUCGACGGCGGUGUUUGGCACCUCGAUGUCGGCUCAUCACAUCCUGGGGCUGAAGUAGGUCCCAAGGGUAUGGCUGUUCGCCAUUUAAAGUGGUACGCGAGCUGGGUUUAGAACGUCGUGAGACAGUUCGGUCCCUAUCUGCCGUGGGCGCUGGAGAACUGAGGGGGGCUGCUCCUAGUACGAGAGGACCGGAGUGGACGCAUCACUGGUGUUCGGGUUGUCAUGCCAAUGGCACUGCCCGGUAGCUAAAUGCGGAAGAGAUAAGUGCUGAAAGCAUCUAAGCACGAAACUUGCCCCGAGAUGAGUUCUCCCUGACUCCUUGAGAGUCCUGAAGGAACGUUGAAGACGACGACGUUGAUAGGCCGGGUGUGUAAGCGCAGCGAUGCGUUGAGCUAACCGGUACUAAUGAACCGUGAGGCUUAACCUUACAACGCCGAAGCUGUU